AGUCGCCGCAGGCGCUUCAGCCCAGCGGCGGGCCUUGGCCCUUGGCUGCCUACUCCUACCGCCCCAGCCCCGGGCGGCCCUGGGCCUGCUGCGGGCGCGGCGCUGCCCGACCAGAGCUUCCUGUGGAACGUCUUCCAGAGGGUCGAUAAAGACAGGAGUGGAGUGAUAUCAGACACCGAGCUUCAGCAAGCUCUCUCCAACGGGAAACCCCCAUCAGCACCUCCCCCUGACUCACAAAGCAUCCCGUCAACAUCACAGUCCCGACUUUCCCACAUGGACAAGCCCACAGGACCCCCUGAUGGACCAGGACAGCGCCAGCACUAAGACAUGCCCUGGAACUCACAGGAAGAGCAGAUCAAGAAGACGGGAACAGCACAAGGCACUGGGAGCUGCAAACACCCACGAUACUGUCAGAGAUGGAGAAAGGUAUGACAGGAAGAGCAGAUCAAGAAGACAGGAACAGCACGAGGCACUGGGAGCUGCAAACGCCCGCGAUACUGUCAGAGAUGGAGAAAGGUAUGACAGGAAGAGCAGAUCAAGAAGACGGGAACAGCACGAGGCACUGGGAGCUGCAAACGCCCACGAUACUGUCAGAGAUGGAGAAAGGUAUGGCCAUGGCUGACACAAAAUGUUACUCAACAUUUAUCACAGGCCUAAAUGGAGAACAUGACGCUAUAAAACCCUUAGAUAAAAACACAGGAAAAUUUGUAUGGCCUGGGGUUGGGCGAAAAGUUCUUAGACAUGACACCAAAAGCAUGAUUCAUAAAAGAUUGACAAAUUAAACUUAAUCAUAAAUUUAAAA
rnacentral:lncRNA from 1 species